UCCAAAACCAAACUACAAUUUGUUGAAAAAU
rnacentral:piRNA from 1 species